GAUGAACGCUGGCGGCGUGCCUAAUACAUGCAAGUCGAGCGAACAGACGAGGAGCUUGCUCCUCUGACGUUAGCGGCGGACGGGUGAGUAACACGUGGAUAACCUACCUAUAAGACUGGGAUAACUUCGGGAAACCGGAGCUAAUACCGGAUAAUAUAUUGAACCUCAUGGUUCAAUAGUGAAAGACGGUUUUGCGGUCACUUAUAGAUGGAUCCGCGCCGCAUUAGCUAGUUGGUAAGGUAACGGCUUACCAAGGCAACGAUGCGUAGCAGACCUGAGAGGGUGAUCGGCCACACUGGAACUGAGAAACGGUCCAGACUCCUACGGGAGGCAGCAGUAGGGAAUCUUCCGCGAUGGGCGAAAGCCUGACGGAGCAACGCCGCGUGAGUGAUGAAGGUCUUCGGAUCGUAGAACUCUGUUAUUAGGGAAGAACAAAUGUGUAAGUAACUAUGCACGUCUUGACGGUACCUAAUCAGAAAGCCACGGCUAACUACGUG
rnacentral:rRNA from 1 species